CAGCGCGAGUGGCUUGGGGGAGGCCCGCAGCGCGUCGACCAGCAGUGAUGCUGCGACAAGCGGGAGGUGCGUCGCUACGAGGCGCUCGAACCGGUAACCAGACGCGUCGCGGUCGGCGGCGAGGGCGGCGGGCGGCUGCUCAUCGCCUGCACGGGCAAGGGCGUGGCGUUCAUGGUCGCAUCGUCCGACUGCUUCAUGGCGGCCGUCGGGCUCCUCGACCCACCCUCUGGCGCGCCGCUGCUGGACGAGCUCGCUGUCGGCCCCGUCCUCCGGCACGCAACUGCUAGGCGAGCUCUCCGUUGGCCUCGGCACCAAGGGGUUCCGCCCCUCGGACCCGCUGCCGCUCAUGCAGGUCACGGAUUUUGCCUGCGGUGGGUUCGUCGCCGCAAGUUGCUCUUCAGGUGCGCCCUGCUCUCACUUUGCUUUCUCGUCUUCAGUUGUUUGCUAGAUCUUGGAUAAAAGGUUACUCUUUGUUGUUAAUCGUGUCUUGUCGUUUGCUCAUUAAAAUUACUAUUACUUGAUAAUGGAUGGAUCAUGGAGAGAUAAAUCGAUUUAUCUUCUAUAAUCUUUCGCCUGCUAUUGUGUUGCCGUGGUAUAGUCUGCUAUGUUCUGAAUGUUCCUAGCUUUUUAGCCUUCCAUGUUCUAAGUUUGCGCCUUCAGAUUCAGGCUCUUGGGAACCAGAUAGUAGGAAGGUAUUAGUAUUUCAUGUUAGCUGCUGAUUUUUGGCUUGAAUAGUGAUAAUUUUCUGGGAUUUUGCAGUCACAGGUUAUAGUGAAAGCCCAAAGAAGCUUUACAAGAAUCCUGAAAGGUAAUAGAAAAAAAUCCAUUCAUAUAUCUAUAGGUAUCACCUCUCACGCUUCUCCACUGUUAUUUGUUUACCUCUAAUGUUUGUUUGUUUAUUUUAGUCUCAUGUUAAAAAUAUCCUAUUUUUUAGUACUCUACCACUCUCCCCGGAAUGAAAGAAAUGAUCAAGGUGAUUAGCAUGAAUGUCUUGGAUGUUUUAAAGACAGAUCAAAUCUUGGUCAUUCUGAUUUUUUUCACUGUUAACUCCAUGAAUGCAGUUCGUUCAAAGAAAUGAUAAGGGCGUCGGAGGAGUACGAGCAACUUCCUCCCUACAUGAAGACUCUAGCAUCCUGGGAGGAUGGUAAAUUGCCAAUAGAAGUUGCUGCAUCCAGAGGAUGGUCGGUAUGGGUUGAUAUUGUUUUACUUGUAACAAACCCUUUGGAGAAAUUUCCAAACCUGAGCAUCAAAUGCUUAAACAAGAAGCGCACAUUCUUACUCUCUAAUGUUUAUUUGAUUCUAUUGCUGGAUAUAAUUAUUGAAAUGGUAGGGCGCCCAUCGCGCGCCGAACGUUCUAGUACAAUUGACACUUGCUAUGCUUGUUGGCUUUGAACAUUGAUGUCAAUAGUGACAAACUGACAACAAAAGCAGUCCACGAGUUGCAAUACAAAUUAGCCAAACUUCUUGCACGAUUACACGGCUACGUUGAAUCUCUUCUUUAUGCAUGUAACACACUGAACCAGCACUGAACUUCUGUGCUAUCAUGCCACAAAUUCAAUUAGUUAUGCCUAAGCAUAUAUCGCUAUCUCUUAUGAGUAAGAAACCACACCCAACCUACUGCUACAGGUCAUGCCGCAAAAAAAAAAAAGAAUGAUGAUAUAGUUGGUAGUUCCAGCUGACUACAUGGAGCUCUACCCCCCUACAUGCCAACAACACACAACUUUUACAUAUCAGCACUUCAUAAGCGUCCCUAAGACCCCUAAAGUUCUGCUGAAUAGACCGAAUAAACAUAGUGAUUUAACUAUCACUCUAGCAGGCACAUUUGAGGCCACUAAAUUAGUAAUUUUUAAUGUAGUGUAAUAAAAGUUCAAUCGUUCCUGUCUCUCAUGCACCCUGUUGGGUUCUACAGAAAACUAUCUAGAUCAACGCUGCAACU